UACGUAGGGUGCGAGCGUUGUCCGGAAUUAUUGGGCGUAAAGAGCUCGUAGGCGGUGUGUCACGUCGGCCGUGAAAACCUGGGGCUCAACUCUGGGCGUGCGGUCGAUACGGGCAUCACUUGAGUUCGGCAGGGGAGACUGGAAUUCCUGGUGUAGCGGUGAAAUGCGCAGAUAUCAGGAGGAACACCGAUGGCGAAGGCAGGUCUCUGGGCCAUAACUGACGCUGAGAAGCGAAAGCAUGGGGAGCGAACAGG
rnacentral:rRNA from 1 species